rnacentral:rRNA from 1 species
CCUACGGGGGGCUGCAGUGGGGAAUAUUGCACAAUGGGCGCAAGCCUGAUGCAGCCAUGCCGCGUGUGUGAAGAAGGCCUUCGGGUUGUAAAGCACUUUCAGCGGGGAGGAAGGCGGUGAGGUUAAUAACCUCAUCGAUUGACGUUACCCGCAGAAGAAGCACCGGCUAACUCCGUGCCAGCAGCCGCGGUAAUACGGAGGGUGCAAGCGUUAAUCGGAAUUACUGGGCGUAAAGCGCACGCAGGCGGUCUGUCAAGUCGGAUGUGAAAUCCCCGGGCUCAACCUGGGAACUGCAUUCGAAACUGGCAGGCUAGAGUCUUGUAGAGGGGGGUAGAAUUCCAGGUGUAGCGGUGAAAUGCGUAGAGAUCUGGAGGAAUACGGGUGGCGAAGGCGGCCCCCUGGACAAAGACUGACGCUCAGGUGCGAAAGCGUGGGGAGCAAACAGGAUUAAUACCCGGGUAGUC